UAUGUAUAUGAUAUCGGCGUGCAUUUACUAACGCCUAAAUACCAUUCGUUUCAACUCUCUCUCUCUCUCUCUCUAAAGACUCCUUGACCUGCUGAGGUCUUCUUCAUCAUCGUUUCGUCCUCCAUUUUAAUCGCCCUUCCUCUCCGUCAAACCUCUCUCCUCUCCUCUCAAUCAAUCAAUCAAUCAAUCAAUCAAUCAAACGACAUGUCGUCCUCGGGCGGCAACUCCGGCAUCGCCCCCUCUCAGCUGUACUUUUGCCACCAGUGCGAUCGCACCGUUUCCAUCAACCCUUCCCCUACCUCCGAUCUCAAUUGCCCUAUUUGCACUGGCGGCUUCCUCGAAGAGAUGGAAACCCCUAACCCUAACCCUAACCCUACCCCCAAUCCCUUCUUCUCCUUCCCCUCCGACGCCCCUCCCUUCGCCUCCUCCAGCGGCUUUCCCUCCUUUCUCUUCAGCACCCCAGCAGGCCCCGCCGCCGGUGGUCCGGGAAAUCUUGGCGACGAACUCUCCGCCCUCUUCGGUGGUGGCGCGCCUUCCUCCCGCUCGUCCCCCUUUCAGGACCCCGACGCCUUCGACCCCUUUGUGUUCCUCCAGAACUAUUUGCAAACCCUAAGGGCCAAUGGUGCCAAUGUUCAGUUUGUGAUUGAUAACAGCGGCGGAGGAGGGGAUCCUUCAGGCUUCCGUGUUCCCACCAAUCUUAAUUUUGGAGAUUACUUCUUCGGCCCAGGCCUCGAGCAACUCAUCCAGCAGCUUGCCGAGAAUGAUCCAAACCGCUACGGCACGCCACCGGCUUCAAAGUCUGCCAUCGAGGCCUUGCCGGUUGUGAAAAUCUCAAAGGAACUCUUGGAUUCUGAUUCUUCUCAGUGCGCAGUGUGUAAGGACUCGUUUGAGCUUGGGGAGGAGGCCAAGCAGAUGCCCUGCAAGCACUUAUACCAUUCUGAUUGUAUUCUUCCCUGGUUGGAAUUGCAUAACUCAUGCCCUGUUUGUCGCCACGAGUUGCCAACCGAUGAUUCAGAGUAUGAGCAGAGGAUUCGUGGCGGGGGCGAUGCAGCCAAUGCAAAUACAACUCAAUCUUCUGCUGCUGCUGCCAACAAUUCCAGUGGUGUUGGUGGGAGUAGGGGGCCAGCUGUUGACAUUCAGAGUCAGGCACCACGUACAGUUGAGCGGAGGUUCACCAUUUCCCUGCCUCGCUUUUUAAGGGUAUUUGGUGGUGCACCCGAGACUAGUAAUACUGGGAGUGCAAGUGGAAACAAUGAUGGGCCUAACUCAGGGAAUAGGGGAAGCCAUAACUCGGAAUCUGAGCCUAGACAAGAAGAUCUUGAUUGAGGACAAUUGGUUUGAGAAUAUGUGGCUUAUCCUUCCUGAUUUCCAUGACAAGAUCAAGCCCAGGUGUCAGUGUAAUAUCGUUUUCAAAACAUGGAAAGAUGCCAUAUAGCCAUAUAGGUAUGAAUAGCAGUUUAAAUCUGCAACCAAAUGUUGAACAAAGAAAGAUCUUGCACAUUAACAGUUAGUAACAGUUGUUGUUGUUGUUGUUUUUUUUUUUCUUUUUUUUUUUUCUAUAUUUGGAUGUGAUAAGAAUAGGUAAAGUGUCCACCUUUAUUUUGUUCAAGUUGCAAAUUUCUCACAGAUUCAAGAUUUUUGUCAAAUUUUAUGUGCAUUAUCAGUGUUCUAGUUCUGUAAAAGUUUUCAUUUGGGUAACACCUUAAUUUUGGGAUGUCUGUAUUACAUGGUCUUGUUGCUUCAAUUGCUUAUUCAAAGUUUUUUUGAUGCUCUA